rnacentral:misc_RNA from 1 species
GCUGCAGAAUCCAAAGUUCUCCACGCCCUUUACAAUCUUCUUAAUAACCUAUAUAGUGGAACUUGAACCUAUGCAGUCAAGUUGACACUGUUGCAUAGUAGCAUCUAUAAGCGGUCAUUACACAAGCAGAUUGCCCACCAUGCAGCAAAAUGGAAAAUAGAAAUGACCGUAUGCAAUUGAACACAGCUGACCUUGUAAAAUCCAUGGCUGAAUAAAAUAAAGAACAAAG